GUCUACGGCCAUAUCACCCUGAAUGCACCUGACCUCCUCUGAUCUCGGAAGAAAUACAAGUGAGGCUUGGGUGGUUUAAUAAGGAAAUACCACUUUUAAAUAUAAGAACCUGAGCUU
rnacentral:rRNA from 1 species